rnacentral:rRNA from 1 species
CCUACGGGAGACAGCAGUGGGGGAUAUUGCACAAUGGGGGGAACCCUGAUGCAGCGACGCCGCGUGGGUGAAGAAGCGCCUCGGCGCGUAAAGCCCUGUCAGCAGGGAAGAAAAUGACGGUACCUGAAGAAGAAGCCCCGGCUAACUACGUGCCAGCGGCCGCGGUAAUACGUAGGGGGCAAGCGUUAUCCGGAUUUACUGGGUGUAAAGGGGGCGCAGACGGCGAUGCAAGCCAGGAGUGAAAGCCCGGGGCCCAACCCCGGGACUGCUCUUGGAACUGCGUGGCUGGAGUGCAGGAGGGGCAGGCGGAAUUCCCAGUGUAGCGGUGAAAUGCGUAGAUAUUGGGAGGAACACCAGUGGCGAAGGCGGCCUGCUAGACAUUAACUGACGCUGAGGCGCGAAAGCGUGGGGAGCAAACAGGAUUAGAUACCCUAGUAGUC